CAUUUAGUUUCCUGUGUGUGGGAGCUGUGUAGCUGUGUGUUUUUGCUGUUUGGGUUGGUGCUGCGUUUAGAAGCUUGUAACACUUCUGAAGCUGGAAUAAACUACAAACCCACCAGGAAGAAGCAGCAACUGCGGACGUACUGCUUUUAAGAGUUGUAACACUCACAACGGAGGUCUGUAGUUCUUUCCUAAUGGUGAGACCACCAAACCCACCGGAAGGGAGAAACUUCGGACACAUCUGAAUGACACACCGUCUUUCAGAACUGUAACACUCAGCGGGAGGGUCCCUUGCUUCAUUCUUGAAGUCUGUGAGACCAACAACCUAAAUCCAAGCACAUUUUGCCAACCACGAAAGGACCAUUGGAUAUCGCCAUACGCAACCUGCACGUGUUCUGACUUGUGAUCUCAAGGUCUGAGAGACGUGUGUGGUGAAAUCACACCCACCUACCCCAGCAGAGGGGCCACUGGAUGUACCCGUGCGCUGCAGGAAACUCGGAUGAAAGGUUUGUUAUUAAUGAAUGUUCUGUCAUUACAAUGAAGAUUCCUCGGCCGUGGUGAAUUCCUCUCUGACCACACAGCCAAUUCUAGUCUGCGUAGUGAAUACGCUGAGGGUUUUGCAUCUACUUUCUGACCCCGUGGUGGUUUUGAGAAUCAUUCUGUACUUUAAACAAUUAGAUCCUGCAUUGUUUUCCUCCUUUUAAAAUGAUUUGUUUCUGCCUUUAAAUUUAUCACAUCUUU